CGGGUGAGUAACGCGUGGGUAACCUGCCUCAUACAGGGGGAUAACAGUUAGAAAUGGCUGCUAAUACCGCAUAAGACCACAGUACUGCAUGGUACAGUGGUAAAAACUCCGGUGGUAUGAGAUGGACCCGCGUCUGAUUAGGUAGUUGGUGAGGUAACGGCCUACCAAGCCGACGAUCAGUAGCUGACCUGAGAGGGUGACCGACCACAUUGGGACUGAGACACGGCCCAG
rnacentral:rRNA from 1 species